rnacentral:rRNA from 1 species
GACGAACGCUGGCGGCGUGCUUAACACAUGCAAGUCGAACGGAAAGGCCCUGCUUUUGUGGGGUGCUCGAGUGGCGAACGGGUGAGUAACACGUGAGUAACCUGCCCUUGACUUUGGGAUAACUUCAGGAAAAAGGGGAUAAUACCGGAUAGGAGCUCCUGCAGCAUGGUGGGGGUUGGAAAGUUUCGGCGGUUUUGGAUGGACUGGCGGGUUAUCCGCUUGUUGGUGGGGUAGUGGAGUACCAAGGCUUUGAAGGGUAGCCGGCCUGGGAGGGUGACCGGGCACAUUGGGCCUGAGAGACGGACCAGUCUCCAACCUGAGGCAGCAGUGGGGAAUAUUGCACAGUGGGCGGAAGCCUGAUGCAGCAACCCCGCGUGCGUAAUGACGGCUUUCGGGUUGUAAACCGCUUUCUCCUGAGACGAAGCGGUAGUGACGGUACUGGGUAAAGAAGCACCGGCUAACUACGUG